rnacentral:lncRNA from 10 species
CAGCUGGCCAGCACCAUUCAUCGCCCACCAACAGCCCUGGGCAUUGGCCUCUGAUUCCCCGUCACCCAGAGGGAAGACCCUUUUGGGGCCGAGGCGCUCACCUUCAGCCAGUCCCCGUAGUGGACGUAGCCCCCGAUGUAGGCGGCGUAGGUGCUAAUGGCCAAUUGGAGUGCGGCCCCCAGCGCGAACCAGCGCCGCUUCACGCCAAAGGACAUGAAACUAGCGCACAGCACGGCUGCCCCCAUGUCGAAAUACAGACUAUGGAGGAUUCACCACCAGACUGGGAAGCAACAGCAACAGCCUGGGCUCGAGAGUCGGACACUGCACUCACCAGACUAUGGCGGAUUCACCACCAGACUAGGAAACAACAGCCUGGGCUCCAGAGUCGGCCACUCGUCCGUGCACAGACGAGGAGAGGUCUCAUGAAGCUUCGGCACAAUCUAGGACCCUAGCUCUUUUGUAAUGAGUUGUUUGGCAUGAGCUCCAGGCACGAGGGCCCUUCAUGACCAGGCUCAAGGAACAUAAAAAGGUCAACUUGUUUUUGCGAUUGUCUGUUGUUUUUCAAUAACUAACAUAUAGGAAUAGAUUGAAAUAGAGAUUUAUCUGAAACAGCGCUGGAUGAAUGCCUCAAGGGGCUCACACAACCUGUUCCGGGACUUGGUGACCAUUGUUUGUGUCCAUGUUCAAUUGAGUUCAAAUUUAAUAUUUAACUUUUC